UAAUUUUAUUCACACUGGAGUAAGCCACUGUCAGAUAUUUUCAGGGAGCUAACAGGAGAAAAACAAUGCCUCUAUUUGGUGGAGUCCAGUGGGUGAAAAGUAUCAAAGGUAUAAAGUCCUAAACUGCUGAAAAUAGUUGAAAAUAACACAUUAGUUCUUCUCUCCUGACUCAAUGCCUUUAUUGUUCUUGACAUUAUUUUGUUAUUGCCUUUGCUCCUACAAUGUGUUGUGGUGACCCAGUGUGAAAGGUCUGUAAUACUGUUUCACUGCUGUGAAGGCACCAGAUAACCCUAUUCGUCCUCUGGUCUAACACGGUUACACAUGUUUAGAAUACAGCCAGAAAUGGGCUGACAUCGAUAGAACAGGGUAAAAUAAGAGAUGGAAAGAGCAUUAGAAAGCAUGUACUGAGGAAUGAUACACCCAGAAGACAAUGUUUUCUAUAUCUAUUGGAAAUCAGAAAUGGCAUGUGAUAAUCCGGUGACGUACAGGAGCUAUUUCAUGGGAUAUAGCUGGUGCCACAGCAGCUGAACCCUUCUGUUCAAAUAAUUGCGCUUGCUCACAGAUAAAAUGCUUGAGUCAAUAUUUUGAGGAACUUUGCAACUUACUUAGCCUCAGACUGUAUCUGACACGUCUUGGUCUUUGAAAUAGCAAGGCUCAGUCCACGUGGUCCUGUAAAAGGGCAGGGCUGUGAGCAGGCUGCAGCAGCAGAUCUGAGGCUCUGGAGAUGGGACCUGCCACCUGGGUCAGCUUAGGUUUUGGUGUUAGAGCGGGUUGGAGGAGGGAGGUGCCACCUCCCUUAAAGCCUCUCUGCCCAGUUUUGGGUUUGCCAGCUCGUUCAGAUGUGCCUGCGUGCUGCCCUCCAGAGCAAAGAGCCUGUUCCUGGAGAUUUGACUUGGUUUCCUCUCUUAGCAGGGGCACCUGAGGACCAUAUUCUAAGCAGAGACAUUAAGGCUUUGCCUAAUAAUAAACCUAUUGACUUAGGGCAUUUGGGGGCAUAAAUGCAAUAAAUAUGCGGUUUACUGAGCAUAGUGUUGGCCACGUCCCUUUUGCUAAAAGAUCUCUGCUGAAGCAACCAGGGCCCUAAAUGCAGUGAAAUGGAGAAUGUAUACAAAAAGAAUGCUGGCUUGACAAUAUCGCACAGUCCUGUCCCAGUCUGUAUCCAGUUCUCAACUGUUCUCUGCCUUCAGUCCAAUAGUAAAGUCAUAUUUAUUUACUUGGCUUUGCUGUGUUAAUGAAAAAGCCACUUAACAAAACAAAUAGAAGGAAGGACAUUUGCAACCAAUUAUGGUAUUGCUGAUCAGUCAAAUUGCGCUGGAAAUUACAUGUUGAAGUUCAGCCCAGGCAGCUGAUCAAUUACCUGGAAGCUUGGCACCGGUGCGUGCUAUCAACUUAAUAAAUCAAUGUAAGUUCAGUCUCUGUGCCAGAAUAUAUAUGUGUGUUCAAUAUGACAUCAAUAUUGUAUAAUGAUGGUUAAAGCUAAUUGGCCAAAUGCUGUGCUCUCUUAUCUGCUGCGCAACCCCCCUGGAGCCCGAUGGCACCCUGGCAGGCAGGGUGGAAUUUGGCUAGCUAUUCUUUAAAUAUACCCCGGGCAUCAUUUAAAAUAAUGUUUUUAAAGCCCUUCUUUUUUGCAACCACAAGGGAAGUUAGCACUCCAGCAUAUAAUUCAGGGUUGACCAAACUGCCAGCUAGCUAUCUGCUUCUAGGGGAAGACUCGCUGUGUGCGCCGGCUCCUGGAGAGGGUUGUAGAAAAUAGGCGCUUUCUCUUCAGUGGCAGAUGCACAUCUUGGCUGGUUUAUGCGCAGCUUCCUCUUCUUAAUUAGCUCUGACAUUUUAGCUAUCGUAAUAUGGGUUUGGAUUAGAAGUGAAGGCUGAAAGCACUGGGUUUUUGCUGAAAACAAAGUUUGCUUUAAGUGCAAACUGGGACGCUUCUAACUGUCUGAAAGCUUUGUGAUGGGCUGUAGCAUGGAAAUGCAGGAGCUUCUGGAAGUGCUGGUGGCCACUUGCUCCCACAUGCGAUACCGCCAGUUUCAGUGCUCUGUGCUCUCUUAUUUCACUCUUGUCCAGUUAUUCUGAUCUCUCUUUGCCCUCCUGUUCUGUGCCAGUGACAACUGCGGUCCACUGGUGGUUCCCAGCUCUGCCAUCUCUCUCCUCCAGGGAACGUGCAGUUACCAGCAUGUGUUCAUAUUUUGGGGAGUAUGCACGGGGAAUUGAGCCACGGUUGCGCUAGGUGCUUUGCAAAAGCAGGGAGAAGGCAAUCCCUGCCCUGAGGGUCUUAUGUUCUGCAGGCACUAAUAACCAUGGGGAUACAGUAUACAAAAACCAUAUAUAAGGCAAGGACCCUUCUUUGGUAGUGUAAUUUGGUUUGGCUAAUGCUUAGCUGAGAGCAGAAGUAGGGAGCGAGGAAAGGAGGAAAGAAAAACUUAGUUCAUCAGUUGCCCAGCCAUAGCCAAGGUUGUGUUUGGUAGGGUUUUUGGCAGAAGUGAGUUGUAAGGAUAGUUUUGAAGGAGGAGAAAGGAGUGGCUGUUCAGAUUUUAUCGGGAAGGUUUUCCCAGGCUUAAAAGAAAGCUGGGGAGAAAGCGAGUCUGUGCUUAGGGAAGGAGCUGACAGAUGGAUUAUAGAGGCUGGUGGGGCAAAGGUUAUGGGCUGGCCGUAUGGUAGGUAGGUUAUUGGUUCAGCAAGGUAAGAGGAGAUGUGGAAAGGUAAUAGGAAUAAAGAGGAGAAGGCAAGAAGCUUGUAAAUUAUGUAAACGAAGGACCAGUAUGAUUGUGGUGUGAAUUGAUGUGGUCUUGAAGGCAGCUGUUAAAACUGAAGAUUGCAAUAACUGAUGGAAGAGAGGAGGGAGGCUUGGAGGAGAAUGUUUUGGGGGUUUUUUUAAGGAAAAGGCCUUAGAGAUGUUAAAAAGAGCAAGCUUGAGAUGUGAUUCCAAAGAAAUCCUGUCUGUGCAUGUGGUGGAUGAGACUGUGGGCCUCAGUGAGUGGGAGGAUGGGAUAUCACCUGGGUGAGAAGAGGGAGGAUGGCAGCGAACUGCCUCCACCUGGCUUACCGGGAGGGGAUCUGAGCUGUUUUGUAGAGCUGUUGUGGUCUUUUUGAGUUAUUUGAGUAUUUUUCCAGUUUAUUCUUUGAUUAAUGGAUCUUUAUUUUUAUAUCAUUGCUGAUUCUGGUAACCUACCCAGUGUCACAAAAUGUGGGUGACUGCGGGUGGUAUCCUGGCUAUUCAGUCAGCCUGAUUCUUCAUCAUCUGACACCAGCUUCAUGCAAACAAGGCUUCUUUUGCUAUUUCCAGAAGUUCAUAGCAGAAAAAUACUUUGAGAAAAUUGUCUUGUGGUGGUUUAUCCGUUCUAGCUCUGGCUAUCACUCAAAUAAAAAAUGGCAGUGGUCUGUGGGAAAAAGAAAAAUAAUUAAAAAUAUAUGCUUACUUAUAUUUUUCCAAACCACCAGACCAAUUUACCCAUUCCUGAGAAAAGACGCAAUCAAGUAGCGUUUUCCUUAAUGUCAGAAUGCAGAAUAAUGCCUAGAUGAGUUUUUUCAAAGAAGAUAUUUUUAUAUUUGCCCUGUCAAAUGCAGAAGAUAAUCAGCUAUUUAUUUCUCCUACCCCAAAUAUUUACAUCUAGAAAUGUUAAGUAGAUUUGUUUUCCUUCCUUCAUUUGCUUGGUUGGAAAAAAAUUCUUUUUAUAUUUUUUGGUUUGUUCAUGUUGGAGUACAAAGGCAGGAUGCAGAAUAGUUGAACACGGGUGGGGAAUUAUAUCUGUAUAUACAACCAGUCAGGCUUGGAAAGCAUCAUAUCCCAGUAAGGUACGAUGGAAAGAAGGUAUGAAAUCCUGGAUCCAGAGACAUCAGUAGCAAUACUGCCUUUAGUUUUCAUUUCCUUUAUUAGAUGUUGAAUAACUUCAAGAGCGAACACUGAUUUCUCCAAAAUAAAUCACUUCUUUGUGAUUCUCUUCAAAUCGGAAGCUGCCUUACUCUAUUUUUAACUCUCAACCACACCAGUGACAACUGCAUUUCUAUCUGUGGAGAAACCUUCAUUGCAGCUUUGGCUCUGAGUUUGCUUGGGUUUCCAUGAGGAGUUCCCAAACUGCGGACGGGGUGGGAUAGCGAGGAGCGGUGCUGCCGGGGUCACUCAGCUGGGGAGGAUCUCCGGGAGGUGACACUCCGGAUCACGUCUGGGCUCACGUGGCCAAGCUGAUGCCUGCUGGGGAGGGAGCGGGUCUGCGCGCUUGAGGCAUCUUCUCCUGGCAGCUCUCUCCCAGGCAGCUGUGCAGCCAGGAGCUCUCCCAAGGCUUUGCAGAAGUCUCCGUGUACGUACGCCCGUGUGCUGUGACAGCCGUUGUUUCCACUGAACAGAUGGCUGGAGGUGGAGCGGUGACGAUGAUGAAGGUGAAGUGAUGCAGCCUCAGAUUCUGGUACGUGCCGUAAGGUGGCAAGUCAAGCCUCAGAUCUGCAGGAAGACGAUCUGCUGAGAAAUACGGCCCCAAACGAGCCCUGCGGCUGGUCUGUACUUUGGACUCGGGUGACACACGAGGACGGGCAUCUCCUGCAGCCCUCGAUUCAGGCUCCUCGCCCUGCUAUCCCAGCGAUGAUAGCGCAUUUGCAUAAGAAGCAACUGAGUAAUACCUGCCUCUGCAGACAUCAAAUGCUGCAAGUAUUUUGUGGUAAACCUGUUGCUGCUCUGGGCAGGGAGGAUGCACUUUACUCCGAAAGCAGAGGAUGAAAGCCUUUGUGGCAACGGCUGUGCUUUGAAAGCGACUGAGCCCAAUCGUCUGCACAAGCAACUGUUUUAUUAUCAGAAUAACUGAUCUCCCAAAGUAUUUAACGCCACUGCCUGCAAGAAACAGAGCCAGUGCACACUGCAGCCUUGCAGCCUUUUGCUAGUGCUGCUGAGUAUCUGAAUCUUGCUCCAGCAAUAUAUUGCUGUUAAUUGCAAUAAAAGAGUGGAUUUAAGGGAUUCACCUGUUUGGGUUGCUUGUUCAAGAGGGCUCAGGUUGGUGUGCAGUGAAAAUAACCACCAUUAGAUGGCUAGCCUGUAUCUACGUGACCCGAAAUGGCUGUAUUUGCCCAAUUCCUAAGCUACAGGUGUGCAGUGACACAGACCUGUGCUUGUCAUCGCAGAACUGAGCCUAAGAAUAAACUAGAUUUGCACCUUGAAUAUCUGUUUGUAGGGGAGAUCAUUACUUGAGAGCCAGGCAGUGGAUACAGCUGAUGGGCAGACCGUGAACCUGGGUGCUGGGUUAUUCCUGACUUUGGCCUUGGCCACUUCUAUCACUGGAGCAAAAUUUUGGGUGCUUCUGUUUUCUUACGUGGAGAUAAGGAUACUGGUCCCUGGAUUAAAAGUGUUAUUAAGGAGCCACAUUAUGAUUAUAAUAUUAUUUUACAGGCUGAACAGCGUGCAGAAGCCGGCAGUGCUGCUGCUGAGCUUCCUCAAGGAGUGUGCGCGUUCACAAAAGGGAAGAAGAAACCGCACAGGAGGAUUUGCUCAUACAUAAGAUGAGGAAACUGAUUAUCUGUGAAACAGCCAACAGUUUUUAUUUACUGUGAAAAUCUGAAUCUCGCUCUCAAUUUCCCAUCAAGAGAAAAUGCAGGCAUUUGGUUAAAAUGGUGACUUAAUGCUCCAGAGGUUUAAUUACCACCACUCUGCACUCUGUGUUGAUUCUGAUUAUAGUCUGCAGCUCCCAACUUCAACAAGAAAUGCAGCUCCCCGCAAAGCAGUCAAUAAAAGGAAGAUGUAUAGCAUGUGCUCAGAUUUUGUGGUCCUUCCCAUAGCUGAACUUACAAAUCUGCUAUUGUUAAUAGUUUUCUUUCAAAACUCAGGUUCUCCCUUAGCUAUUAUCAAAGUCCAUAGCUCCUUAUUACUACAUUUUAAUUUCUCUGUGUGUAGUAUCUAUAUACAUAUAUGUGGUACUGAAUUAAGGGGUGGAAACUAAAUUUCCAAUUUUUUUUCCUGUAUCCACAGAAAGCACUGGUCUGAACUAGUCUCAAUAGCGGCAAUUAUUGAAACUUUGUAAGGGCCUUGGUUGGAAAAAGUGUCAAGAAGGCAGGUAUGCUUGGACUGUGGCUGACGUGAUCUCUGGCACGGGCCUCCGCUCCGUGGGAUGAAUGAUCGAUGCUCCUCCGUUGCAGUUCCCGGUGCUUUUCUUCUUUAAAGACUUCAGGACUUGCAGAUCAGACAUGGGGCCAGCCUGGGCCUUACUUGGUACUGUUUUCCCUCUGCAAGUUAAGAUUUCUUCUCCAGUGCAUUUUCAUCUGGCUGUGCCAACUGUUGUCGAUCCCUGUGAAAAUUGCACAUGCUCUAUAUUUUACCCAUUACUUUGCAAGUCGGGUUUUUAGUGAGCGAAGCCUUUACCUGUAUUGCCGCCACGCUCCUGCUGGCACUAAGGUAGCUGUAUCCGAGCAAAUCUGGCCAGCACAGGCACUGCUAGCAAUGCAGCUGCAGUCCUCUGCCUUCUGCUGGGGGUCGAGCCCUGGCUUUACAUCAGGGGAUGCUCCCGAGCCGGAGCUCUUUCUGCAGGAGCUGCAGUAGCAACCACAGAAGUUGCUCUCAAAAAAAAAAAAAAACCCAAAAAACCCCGAACAAACCAACUUUGCUACGGUUUCUGCUCUCUCUCUAAGCAAGGGUUAAUUUUUCUCAUCAUCGCCAGCCCCUUAUAAAAAGCAGCACAUUGUGUAUCCUGCCCCUACUGACUUGUGGAAAUAAGAGAUACCCUAUUAACAAUCCUUGUCCAAACAAACCAUUGGCCUGGUUAGUGCCAGCACUUUCCACCCAGCACUAGUAUUUGUUUUUCCAUGCUCUUAAUCUUAUAAAUUGAAUCGAGUCUGAUAAAAGUGACUUCCUGAAUAUUGCAUAACAGUUUGUCAGGAUGGAAGACAAACAAACCUGACCUUGAACUUGGAAAGUUUCCUCCCAGCAGGUAGGAGCUUCCAAAAGUCUGCGCUGAUCUGGGAAAUGCUGGAGGGGGCUCCCGGUCUGCUCGCUGCCCUGGGACAGCAGCGAGGCUUCCCUGGCAGCCACCCUCUCCCCCAAAAAAAGCUUUGGAAAAUGCUUUGGAUCCUCCUCUGGGGACCGGAGAAUUCCCCGGAAAGAGCUGCAGCAGGAAGACAGCAGCAUGUUCUUGCUCCAAAAAGGAGGCAGAGGAGAAAUCCUGUCUAUAUCUGGCAUAGUUUAGCCUCCAGGGAUUAAUUAAAGGCUUUUUCAGUUUUUCUUUCAAACCUCGCAAGGUUCAUCUCCACCUCACUGAAUAGGGAAAAGGGAGAGGCAUUUUCUCUGGUGAAUCACCAGGCUGUUUCAAUUUUCAGUUUUACAUUGCAGUAAUAUUUUUUUCCUAAGGGAACACCACAGGAAGGGCAAACUUUGGCUUCUCACCACUGGAGUAUUAUGUCAUUAAUAUGAGCUGGAAAUCUGAGCGGCGGGUGAAACAAAUAUUCCCUGAACUUAGCAAUCCCCCCUUUCCUUGGUGCUUCUGUUCCCUCUUCCCUGCCCAUGGGUAAGGCAGGUGAAGUGAGUGAAGUAACUGCUGGCAGUGCUGGGACUGGAGCCCCGGAGACUAAUGGAGCUCUGGGGGCAGCAAAAUCCUUUCUUCUACGACUCAGGCUUAUGGUGAUGGAUGCAGUGCGGGGGGGGAAAGGAGCCACUCGGCUCUCUGGGGAUCCACGUGAUACACGUGUGGGGUCUUUCACGCAGGUUUCCCAGUGCCAGAAAAGCACAUGUGAGGACUCUGGUUUUUGGGCAGCAUCCUGAAGAAGCACCACAGCUCCUGGCUCACCCUGCCCCGAGUGUGUGUGUGUGGUGCCCCGUCCAUCGGGCCCCACGGACCCUCUGGCUGCAGUGUUUGUUUUCUGACCCCAUUACCUAUUCCAGUUUGGAUUUCAGCUGCUCAGACUUGAUUAUUUUAAACCCCCUCUAUCUGAUUACCAGCAGCACAGCCAGGCCAGAUAUGAAGCUUCCUGGGGGAUCUCCAGCAGCAUUGCAGAAGCAUAAUUUGCCUCAUUUAUGCUCCUGGAGGGGGUUGGUCAGCAGAGAGCGGGGGAAGAGUUAUGGGGAUGGUACAAGACUGGGGGAAGGCAGCUCCCCCUGCACCCCCCGUACUGCAGCCUCACAAAUCUGAGAAACUUUGCUGCGUGACUGAUUACUUUGCUGCCCCAGGCGUGCAGGGAGAUGCGCGCUGGCAGGUGCCCACCACCCCAAGGAGGUAUUGGUGAUGGGCGCCAUGGCACACGCUAACCCGCAUCGGCACGGGAGGAUGCUUCUGGAAGCAGAGCGUGGCUGCCCUGGCUGGUGCCGAGCAGCACAGCGACACGCUGGCAUGGCAGGGUGCAGCAGAUUGGUACCAAAGCUGGGCAGCCCUGUGCAACCUUCCCAGAGCUGCCUUGCUCUUGCUUUUCGUUUUUUCUAUUGUUACCCUAAAGCUGUCCUCCUCCUCCCCCCAGCAGGAUGAAGAAACCUCCAGCUGGCCUAGGAGGCUUAUCAGCUCUGUCUGGCUGUGUGUUAACAGUCUAUUUGCAUAAGUACCUGUCCCUGUCAUAUGCCGUUUGCCUUUGUGACUUGCUGUAUUUGUUUAUUUUUCCUCCAGCAGCCAGGCUUGCAACGUGCCGCUCCCCGAGGUAUGCCAGGGCAGAUGCCACCACCCCCCGGGGCACCGUGCGAUGCCGUGCGCACCCUCCCUGGCUCACCCGCUCCUUCUGCCCUGCGCGACCAGCUUGGGAAUGAAAUGUGUAACUCGCUGGGUCCUGUCUUCUCUUGGCUGUCAAGAUAAAAUUAAACUGAACUCCCCCUUUCACAGCUCGGCAGCUGUCCCUGUGCCGUGGCUGGGGAGAGCGAGGCUUCCCCUGGGACCGCAGUCCCAGCUCGUAUCGCAGGGAAGGGUGAUGCAUCUGGGUCGAUGGCUGCGUGGUGGGUAAUGCGCUGCCUCCUCCCCGCUGUUAGGCGGGCAUGAGUUGAGAUCCCUAAAGCCCUUUCUGAACGCAGGUCUCAGCUCCAAAGGCAGAGGCAGCGUAGCCUGCCAGACCGACUCUUCGGGAUUUGCUGUGCUACAGCAAGCAUCGCUACAGCUCUGCUCCAAGUGUUGGUCAUGACCGUGGAGUCACCUCCUCAGGUAGGAGCCAAGCGGUCUUGUUUCUGCUCAUUAGCUCUGAGAGGUUUUUCCAUCCAUAAUAAGAAAGUCAUUAAUGUUAAACUUCCACUGCCAGGUAUGAUUGAUUUGAAGACUAUAACCACUAUAAAAAGGGGUAUGUGUUGCAUAUACAAUGUGUUAAAGUCCUGGCAUGCAGGAGUUGUUGCUUCGAUGGCUGUCUAUCAUCCGUGGAGCUCACCAGAAAACGGCUCAGAUGAAUGUGGGGCUGCUCAGCAACCUGGCAGUACUAAUCAAGAGUGGCCUAUUUUAAAAGGGUUAACGUAAGUUCAAAUAAAUAGGUGGUAUGUCCUCUGCGGAGGGGCUGUAAUCCUAUCCUACAAGAUGAUGGAGCCUCUCUCGUUGCUGUGUUUUUACAAAUAUGGUGUACAACCUCGAGGUCCUCUGUGCUUGCGGGAGAGCAAUGCUCAGUGUGGGAUCCCCUCUGCAAGGAGCUGCCAGUACUGAAGUGUUUUCUUCUGAAUGUGGCCCAGAAAGUUGUCCUGCUGGUGUGUUAUACUUUCCCUCCACGGCUGAUGAGCCAGUGAAUCAGCUGUCCCGUCCGUUCAUCCAGCCAGCCGCUUCUUGUAUGUAAAAGUUAUUUUAGACACAUUUCUGGCAUUCAUCAUAUCAUUCAUCAUAUAAGGUGCUUUUGACAACAUAUCAGUUGAGCCGUGCCAGAUGUGCGUUGCUCCUCUGACCGGGAGAGUGGAUGGAGGAAGCUGGGUGAGAAGGACGAGGGAUUUGGCUCAGCUCAGCACAUCCAGUCUCAGUUUUGACUGUGCUGCCCGGGGUGGGAUGUUAUGGGGCAGGCUGAAGCGUGCUCUGCAAUGGAGAGAUGAACGAGUGUGGAAAGGCAGGUAACUGGCAAUUUGGUAUGAAUAUGAUUGUUGAAGAGGAUCAGUGGACUGGAUUGUCCAAAGAAAAAUGCGGUGGGUAGCAGAGGGAGAAAAUAGAGGGAGGAAGAAGCAGACAAUAUGCCACAAGCUAUCCAAGAAGUGGCUAAAAGAGGAGCAGAACCAGGAAAGGAGGAGUUCAUGAAGCCAGGAGAGGGCUGCAGGAAUCUCAUUCCUUCCUUUAGAAGAACAGUGCCCAAGCUUUCAGCUAGGGCCGCUCUUGGAGGCAUUUGAGGGUGGUGAACCCGCUCUGGCUUCCACAGUUGACCAGAAAAGCGUCUGAUUUGUGACCAAAAUUCAAAUGCCCUUCUUUUCCCACCCUGGCAUGGAUGACUGCAUGCCCAUGGACUGCAGGGUGGCCAUUCUGGCUUUAUAGAUGCAACAAAAUAAACGUUAUGGCUGCAGCUUUUUUGAAUUUACAGGCAGACUUCGCUCCUAACUACAUAGCCUAAAAAUGAUUUGAAAAUUACUCCCAUAAAAUGUGGAUUAUCUGGCUAUGUCAAACCAGAAUAACUGAAAUGAAGUUAGCAGGAUUACUCCACGGGCGUUUGGUGCAGUGGGUCCUCCUCCACUCCUCCCCUGCACGCUGUGCUGAGCAUCGCGCCUCCAGCAAUCGCACUUCAGCGGCAAGGGAGAGGCAGCUCCCGUGGUGGGUCCCGGUUGUGCGGGAGCGGUGUUUUCCAGUCUUGGCAAUGCCAGCAAAUGGACCCGCGGUGGAAAAAGCACACGGGAUGGGACCCGGCUGCCUACAUGGCAAGCAGCUUGCUUGGCAAAGCACUCCGUGGGUCUGCGCGAAUGGCAGCAUGAGCCUCAUUUUAGGCCCGUUCUAACAGGAGAUGAAAAGACUUAGAUCAACGUCCUCAAAUUUCAGAGGAGCAGAAGGUGGAGAUCUCGGAUCCAAAAUCUUAUUUACUGUCCCUCUCUCAUAGCCCUUUGUACCUUAUGCUAAUAAAUAGUGCUGCACAUGCACAACUUGAUCCAGAUUCUAAAGAAAUCAAUAGGAACUGCCAGGUGCUCCGUCCUCUGAAAAUCAGAUCAUGCACUUAUGUGACUAAAUGUGGCUUUAAGAGCCAGCUUUCAGGAACCCUUUUUAAAAGCUGGUAUUUGAGCAUGUUGUAUUGGGUCCUGGCUAUAAUCAGACCUGAUGAAUUUUCUUGAAGUAAAUAUUGUGUGAAGUACCUCAAGAAAUCCCUCACUUCCCAUCUUUAUCUCUUUUCCUCAAAUGCAUUAGCAGCUGAUUUGUCCUUCUGGCUACUUUUAGCUCUUUCUGAACCGUUGUCACCAGUCCCACGUGCCUCCCUCGCUCCUCCUUGCAUCCAGGCGGAGUUUGCUGCUUGGGAAUAUUGCUCAGGCGAUGGAGUGUCCGUGUCAGCCCCCCUAUGGUUAAAAACCAACCCCGUAAGCAAACCCUCAUUUUAUUUAUGACUUUUGGAUGAGAUAAUGGUUUUCCACUUUGAAAAGAAAGCUCUCUACUUCAACGUUUAUUUUCUAUAAAUGCCUUGGCAUUUAUAUUGUAACAGGAGACUAUUCAGUGACAUUAUCUGAUAAAUAUCAUGUUAUACAGCUGCAAUUUACAAUGCAUGUAUUUUUAACAGUGCUUCUAAGCUAAAUUAAAUGCUUCUAAAAUACGGUACUUACGGAAAACAAAUGUCUGUUCUAGCAAUUUUGUUUUUCAGGGUACACUAUUUUUUUUAAAAUCAGAUACCAUCUUUAUCCUGUCAGGCAGUAAAUUAUGCACUUGCACUUUCAUAAACUCUCCCCUUGGGAACUUAGUCAAUGAAGUGGAAAUGUCUUUUUCACACCCUCCAACUCCAAAGAAAUACAGGGAAAUAGCCAACUCGGUUAUAAACUGAAUGUCUAGAGGGAAUCCGUAUAAAAUGUGGAUUAAUGCGGUCUUGAUGCAUGUAUUGUUUAGCAUAUGUACCGUUCACUCAAAUGGCGCAUUGAAUUGUGACUUGGAUCCUUAAAUUCUCUUUUUUUUUUAAUUGGGAGGGUAAUUGCAUGUUCUGUGGUGGGAUCUGCAGGUAGGAAGACACCCGCUGGCACCUGGCUGUUAACCUCCCU